CCUGAGUAUACGGUCGCAGACCCGAAACCGUGUGAUCUACCCAUGUCCAGGGUGAAGGUCAGGUAACACUGACUGGAGGCCCGAACCCACGUAUGCUGAAAAAUGCGGGGAUGAGGUGUGGGUAGGGGUGAAAUGCCAAUCGAACACGGAGAUAGCUGGUUCUCUCCGAAAUAGCUUUAGGGCUAGCCUCAAGGCAAGCGUCCCGGAGGUAGAGCACUGAUUGGACGAGGGGCCCUCACCGGGUUACCGAAUUCAGUCAAACUCCGAAUGCCGAAGACGCAUCCUUGGGAGUCAGACUAUGGGUGAUAAGGUUCAUAGUCGAAAGGGAAACAGCCCAGACCGCCAGCUAAGGUCCCUAAGUAUACGUUAAGUGGAAAAGGAUGUGGAGUUGCCCAGACAACCAGUAUGUUGGCUUAGAAGCAGCCAUCAUUUAAAGAGUGCGUAAUAGCUCACUGGUCGAGUGACUCUGCGCCGAAAAUGUACCGGGGCUAAACGUAUCACCGAAGCUGCGGAUUGUUCUGACGAACAAUGGUAGGAGAGCGUUCCAAAUGCUGCGAAGUCAGACCGUGAGGACUGGUGGAGCGUUUGGAAGUGAGAAUGCCGGUAUAAGUAGCGAGAAAAGAGUGAGAAUCUCUUUCACCGAAAGCCCAAGGUUUCCUGAGGAAGGCUCGUCCGCUCAGGGUUAGUCGGGGCCUAAGCCGAGGCCGAAAGGCGUAGGCGAUGGAUAACAGGCAGAUAUUCCUGUACCACCUUGUUGAGCGUUUGAACGAUGGGGGGACGCAGCAGGAUACGGAAAGCGCACCGAUGGAUGUGUGCGCCCAAGCAGUAAAGAAGUUGGCCAGGCAAAUCCGGUCAGCAAUUCUGAGCUGUGACGGGGAGGGAAAUUGAGUACCGAAGUUCCGGAUUCCACACUGCCAAGAAAAGCCUCUAGUAAGUUCACAGGUGCCCGUACCGCAAACCGACACAGGCAGGCAAGGAGAGAAUCCUAAGGUGAUCGGGAGAACUCUCGUUAAGGAACUCGGCAAAAUGACCCCGUAACUUCGGGAGAAGGGGUGCUCACACCGAGUGAGCCGCAGUGAAUAGGCCCAAGCGACUGUUUAGCAAAAACACAGGUCUCUGCGAAGCCGAAAGGCGAAGUAUAGGGGCUGACACCUGCCCGGUGCUGGAAGGUUAAGGGGAAGCGUUAGCGCCAACGGGCGCGAAGCGGCGAACCGAAGCCCCAGUAAACGGCGGCCGUAACUAUAACGGUCCUAAGGUAGCGAAAUUCCUUGUCGGGUAAGUUCCGACCCGCACGAAAGGUGCAACGACUUGGGCACUGUCUCAACGAGAGACCCGGUGAAAUUAUACGAUGCGUGAAGAUGCGCAUUACCCGCGACAGGACGGAAAGACCCCGUGGAGCUUUACUGUAGCCUGAUAUUGAAUGUUGGUACAGCUUGUACAGGAUAGGUGGGAGCCGUCGAAGCGUGAGCGCCAGCUUACGUGGAGGCAUCCGUGGGAUACCACCCUGGCUGUACGGACAUUCUAACCCAGGACCGUUACCCGGUCCGGAGACAGUGUCAGGCAGGCAGUUUGACUGGGGCGGUCGCCUCCCAAAGAGUAACGGAGGCGCCCAAAGGUUCCCUCAGAAUGGUUGGAAAUCAUUCGCAGAGUGUAAAGGCAGAAGGGAGCUUGACUGCGAGACCUACAAGUCGAGCAGGGACGAAAGUCGGGCUUAGUGAUCCGGUGGUUCCGCAUGGAAGGGCCAUCGCUCAACGGAUAAAAGCUACCCCGGGGAUAACAGGCUUAUCUCCCCCAAGAGUUCACAUCGACGGGGAGGUUUGGCACCUCGAUGUCGGCUCAUCGCAUCCUGGGGCUGUAGUCGGUCCCAAGGGUUGGGCUGUUCGCCCAUUAAAGCGGUACGCGAGCUGGGUUCAGAACGUCGUGAGACAGUUCGGUCCCUAUCCGUCGUGGGCAUUGGAAGUCUGAGAGGAGCUGUCCUUAGUACGAGAGGACCGGGAUGGACACACCGCUGGUGUACCAGUUGUUCCGCCAGGAGCACGGCUGGGUAGCUACGUGUGGUCAGGAUAAGUGCUGAAAGCAUCUAAGCAUGAAGCCCCCCU
rnacentral:rRNA from 1 species